rnacentral:ncRNA from 2 species
GUUUUAGCUAGGAAUUUAUAUAGUUUGGAUCUCAGUGAUUUACCAUUGGAUAAGCUGAGUGAACAGAAACAAAAAAAGCACAAAGGGAAAGGAGUUGGACAUGAAUUUCAGAAAGUUUCAGUUGACAAGUCAUUUUCUAGAGGAUGGAGUCGUGAUCAGCCUGGCCAAGCCCCAAUGAGACAGAGGAGUGCAACAACCACUGGUUCUCCAGGAACCGAAAAGGCGAGGAGUAUAGUACGGCAAAAAACUGUCGAUAUUGAUGAUGCUCAAAUACUUCCCCGCUCAACUAGAGUCAGACAUUUUUCACAAAGUGAAGAAACUGGAAAUGAAGUUUUUGGUGCUUUGAAUGAGGAGCAGCCAUUGCCUCGAAGUAGCAGCACUUCUGACAUCUUGGAACCAUUCACUGUUGAACGAGCCAAAGGUGCAGUUCCUGUCAUUGACAGUUCAUCCCGUCAUGCACCAAGCUUGCAGAGUUCCACAGAGGCUUCUUCAAUAACUAGAUCCACUGAAAGCCACAUCACUGAUACUCAUAGUAGAGAGUCUUCUCUGGAAGUUGGUGAUAGCAUAUAUGACCAUCUUUGUCAUUUAAUAGGUCCAGUAGAACUUGCAGAUUCAGCUUUUGAACAAAUCCAGUACAUUGACCUUGAAGGAGAUGAUGAUCUUCUUUCCACCCUGAAAGAAUAUUUUAAGGAAAACCAGGAAAAUCAUAGUAAAAAUGAGACA